GGCUAGAUGGCCGAGCGGUCUAAGGCGCUACGUUCAGGAUAAUACCUGUACCACCCCACACAGGGUAGGAUUUCGUAGUCUCGAAAGAGGCGUGCGUUCGAAUCGCACUCUAGUCA